rnacentral:rRNA from 1 species
AUUGAACGCUGGCGGCAGGCCUAACACAUGCAAGUCGAGCGGAUGAAGGGAGCUUGCUCCUGGAUUCAGCGGCGGACGGGUGAGUAAUGCCUAGGAAUCUGCCUGGUAGUGGGGGAUAACGUCCGGAAACGGGCGCUAAUACCGCAUACGUCCUGAGGGAGAAAGUGGGGGAUCUUCGGACCCCACGCUAUCAGAUGAGCCUAGGUCGGAUUAGCUAGUUGGUGGGGUAAAGGCCUACCAAGGCGACGAUCCGUAACUGGUCUGAGAGGAUGAUCAGUCACACUGGAACUGAGACACGGUCCAGACUCCUACGGGAGGCAGCAGUGGGGAAUAUUGGACAAUGGGCGAAAGCCUGAUCCAGCCAUGCCGCGUGUGUGAAGAAGGUCUUCGGAUUGUAAAGCACUUUAAGUUGGGAGGAAGGGCAGUAAGUUAAUACCUUGCUGUCUUGACGUUACCAACAGAAUAAGCACCGGCUAACUUCGUG